ACUCCUACGGGAGGCAGCAGUGGGGAAUAUUGCACAAUGGGGGAAACCCGUGAUGCAGCCAUGCCGCGUGUGUGAAGAAGGCCUUCGGUUGUAAAGCACUUCUAGUAGGGAGGAAGGUAGUGUAGUUAACACCUGCACUAUUGUACGUUACCUACAGAAGAAGCACCGGCUAACUCCGUGCCAGCAGCCGCGGUAAGUACGGAGGGUGCGAGCGUUAAUCGGAAUUACUGGGCGUAAAGCGCAUGCAGGCGGCCUGUUAAGUCAGAUGUGAAAGCCCGGGGCUUAACCUCGGAAUUGCAUUUGAAACUGGCAGGCUAGAGUCUUGUAGAGGGGUUAGGAAUUUCAGGUGUAGCGGUGAAAUGCGUAGAGAUCUGAAGG
rnacentral:rRNA from 1 species